AUGAGUGCAGCAUGGGAGAACGUUAUAGAACCCCUCUGCAUUAAUGCAGUGACUCGCAGUCAAAGCAAGAAGGUGGAGACAGUAGGUGAGGAGGCCUCCCAGAGCCCAGUUACCCAGCUGGCUAUGGGGGCAAGGGGAAAGAACCCCCCUAACUGUAGAAACCAGUUGGCUGCUGAAGGAACUGAUGUCCGCAGGGAAAAGCUACCUUUUAUGGGGUAACCCACCAGGUCAUGGGGGCUGAGGAUAUAUGGCCACCCAUCCUCACCUUUCACUAGGGAGGCACUAGUGUGGUAUUUACUGGGGACCACCCCACUACAGGCAGCCCCAACACACCAUCCAAUCCUAGCAGGGUGUAGUUUUAGGUCAUUCCCCAGGACCAGGAACCUCCAGGUCUUCUUAGAGCAGCGACUCCAACCUGGCAGUGUUAUCCCUCUGGCUCCCUACAGCAACUGCCUACUUAGUUCUGAGGGCCUGGGUUUAUACUGAGGCUGCCCAGCCCCAUCCUCCAAUCCAGGAUCCCUCUUGUGGUCAUGUGACCACCUCAUUAAGCCACACCACACCUGCUGGCUGCUCCACAGCCUGUUCAAGCCUCUAACAUUGGCAAGCACCGAAGGUGCCCUACCACACAGGGGCUGGAACUGUGGGGAGCACCUUAGCCAAGCCCAGCUGGCCCCACACCAGCCUGCUCCAAUGAGCCCUGCAAGUCCUGCUGUCUCCAGGGAAGAAUGCAAGGCCAGGAUCAGACGACAGAGUAGCAGAAAACCAGAAUGUCGUCUAUGACGGCCACCCUAUGUAAGGAGAAGGAGACAGCCAUGUGCACUGAAGUGAUACUAAUUCUGACCUGUCAGCUGCACACCACCUCCCAGCAGGUCCCUGGAGCCUCUUCUUGUUUAGAGGUGAUCUUCUCACAGGCAUUUGCUCAUGACGCUGCCUCCUAAAUCCACCCUAGCAAGUACAGUCAAUGCCUGGAGUAGGCCCUGUACGCUCACUAUGUCUUUGCCA